GUCCCUAUCCGUCGCGGGCGCAGGAAAUUUGAGAGGAGCUGUCCUUAGUACGAGAGGACCGGGAUGGACGCACCGCUGGUGUACCAGUUGUUCUGCCAAGGGCAUCGCUGGGUAGCUAUGUGCGGACGGGAUAAGUGCUGAAAGCAUCUAAGCAUGAAGCCCCCCUCAAGAUGAGAUUUCCCAUUCCGCAAGGAAGUAAGAUCCCUGAAAGAUGAUCAGGUUGAUAGGUCUGAGGUGGAAGCGUGGUGACACGUGGAGCUGACAGAUACUAAUAGAUCGAGGACUUAACCUAU
rnacentral:rRNA from 1 species